AGUAAUGUCUGGGAAACUGCCUGAUGGAGGGGGGAGUAACUACUGGAAACGGUAGCUAAUACCGCAUAAACGUCGCAAGACCAAAAGAGGGGGGACCUUCGGGGCCUCUUGCCAUCGGAUGUGCCAGAUGGGAUUAGCUAGUAGGUGGGGUAACGGCUCACCUAGGCGACGAUCCCUAGCUGGUCUGAGAGGAUGACCAGCCACACUGGAACUGAGACACGGUCCAGACUCCUACGGGAGGCAGCAUG
rnacentral:rRNA from 1 species